CUGCUGUCCAGGUGGGUGCGGACGAGACAGGACUGGGGCCUUUCAGAGCUGAGGAAACUGAGUCAGAGCUGAGUCAGGAAGAGCUGACAGCAGGAGACAGCAGAUCCAUGGAUCCUCCUGCCAGAGUCCAGGGGCAGCCCCCCUCCCUGGGGCACCCUCUCAAGUGCAGCCACCCUCGCAGCCUCCAGAAACAGCUGGCAAGGGACUGUCAGGAGAGAUCAGGGUCCCACCCAGCAGGGAGCCGAGGAUGACGCCAACGCCGAAGCAGAGGCCGAGCCGGCCCAGGGCCUCAGGCCGUUCCUC